CGAAGCCUUCGGAGCUCACCAAAACAGACAAAAAAAAGUCUGUAUAGAAAGGAUAUUACAGCUCCUUACAACAAUUGUGAUCCUCAAAAAAAGCAAACAGACUGAACUGCGUUUGCCAAACGGUGCUUUAUGCCUGGAGUGUUGGCGUCGGAAAGAGUCACGGCG